CCCCAGAUGAAAGAGCUAUUGUUCCAUAAUUAAGAAUUUAUCAUAUCCAAUACUGUUAAUUGCUGCACAUCUAAAAUUGUCUUAAAACUCUAGUAAUUCAUUGAUGUAAAGUUCAGUGCACAUUUAGGCUGUGGUGAGGGUGCUGGGUAACCAGGCAGGUGGACAGACCCAAUGUCAAGAGGCUUGAAAGGCCUCUGUGGGGAAAACUGGCAUUUCUGGAGUGUCUCUAUUACAAAGCUAGUCUCCCACCUAGAGGAGCCUUCAUAAAGUCAUUUUCCUUUUGGCUUUGGAAUUUGUUUUUUUAAUGGAUGUAUUCCUAGGAAACCUAUAGCUACUGAUUCUUUUCAAGCUGGACUUUAGUCUCCACGUUCAGUUCUGAAAAACUGGAAGGAUGAAUAUAACAGGAAACCAAGACCAGGAAUUAUGUUUUUAUUUAAGUAUCUUAGUCUGUGAUUUCUGGAUCUUAAAGCCUCAUUUUACUGACAACCUUAUGUUAAAAUAUUUUCACAGGUAUUUAAAGGAAAACAAUCAGUUUAGACUUUUUAAACUGAAACAGGUUUGGUUCUUGGUGAAAAUAAUACAAUUGUUUCUAUCAUUAGAAAAAUGCUAUUUAAUUAUUUUUGUAAAAUAUAGUUUAUGCUACUGAACUAAUCUGGCCAGUGAGCAUUUCUUUACUAACUUGGGGUGCAUGGUCAUUCUUAAUGGCUAACAUCUGUUAUUAGUCUGUUCCGGUUUCAAACUGUAAAGUACUUAAUUCUGCUCACAUGAUUACAUCUUCAAAAAAUCACAGUAGUUGGAACGCGUAAAUUUUAAUGUAUGUAUAAGCAAAUAUUCCAUUGUCACUACAAAUUCAAAUAAAGAUGAUUAUUUUGCCUUGUCAACAAGGACAAAUUACCAUCAAUUGUAUUCUUGUGUGUUUUUCCCUACAGACCUGCCUGAGCCUUCUGGGAGCAGUGCCCACACGCAGGGCGUGUCCGCCUGCAUGGACCAGAGCCACGGGUCCCCCUCGGACGCUCCCCGACUCUCAGAAUUCUUCUAGGGUCCGACAACAUGGAGGCAGAGAGCAGACCUGGGAAGUGGAGUGAAGCUGAAACUCAAGUUUGUGGUCCCUUCCUGCCCUGAAGAUUGGAGCCAGCUCUCGGCACGUGUUCACUAGCGUCUGCCCAAGCUUGCCCUCGUCAUCAGGAGUGCACACAUGCAUCUGGCCACAGGACUUGGGUACAUUUGUACGUGUGAGCGUGUCAUCCACUUCAGGGUCUGCUGCGAGCGUCACAGCACCACUCCCAAGUCCUUCGGCAUCUGUCCCAAGGACCAGGACACGUUGUGUGCUGGUGACCAGGAGCAGCCCACGGGGACUCACACUGGCGCAUUCCUGCUGCAUGACAGAUGAUCCGUAUUCACAUUCCCAAGCGUUCAAGCACAGAGUGGCCCCUGGUAUCCAGUUUUACCUCCCAGAGUCUCAGGUACUUGCUGUCGGCUUCAGCCUGGAGCCAGGUGACCUCCUCCUCACCUCUGGUCAGGCCAGAAGCAGCCUAACGCUACGUCACGGCACCCACGUCACUCACCUCACUCCAUCUCAUCACGUGGGCACUUUAUCAUCUUACAUCACAAGAAGGGCACUGAAACGGGGUUCCUUCGAACAACUCCCUACGCGAUCAGGAAGCCUGGGAAGGCACGUGUCCCUGCGGCUGGGAAGCCCGGCCUCAAACCCCCGGUUUUCAGAAUUCCUGUGCGGCCUGUCACUUUGAGGAAGCCUCUCGCCCUGGGCAUGAGGCGGGUGGCAUGGCUGUGAGAGGCAGUGAGGGCACUGAGGAGCACCCCCUAAGGAGGCUGGCCAGGAACCAGGCAGAGCCACGAAGCCCUGGGGCACACACCAGCCCCUCUGCACCCCAUGGGAGUGCGGCUGAGAAACAAGUGGGAAGACGCAGGGGACGCGUCCAGUGGUAAUGGUUCCAGGGGUGUGACUGUGAGCAGCUCUGUCUUAGUGACCCGAAGCGGGGUGUUUGUCAGAACACCAUACUUUUACAGACUGCUAUAAAAAAAGACGGAGUUUCACUCAAUCUAAAACAACACACAGAAUGACUUGAACAAUAUCAACACUUACAGUUAUACAUUUAGGCCUUUAUAAAUACUACUGUAACUCUUGGAGCAGCUCGGUGAGCCAGAGGUGACUGCUUCUGCUCCCCAGACGAGGAAAUGAGGCUCAGUGGCCGCUUUCUGCCAGAAGCCUCGAGGCUG